CCUGUGGUGCAAUCAACAUCUGGUCUUUUUACAUGUGCUGUAUGCCAAAUCGACCUUGCUCCGAGUGAGGGAAUCUCUGUUCAUGCUGGUUCCAUCUUCUCCACUAGCUCAAAGCCCUGGCAAGGGCCUUUCCUCUGCGCUGAUUGCCGAAAUAAGAAGGAUGCCAUGGAAGGAAAACGCCCUAGUGGAGUUAAAGUAGCAUAACUCCUUUAUUGUAACCUCCUUAUUCUUUCCCACUUCAUUCUAUUUUUUUGUGCCCACUUUCGAUUAGGCUAGUGAAUUGUUUGAAUCUUACCAUAGUGCUACAUCAAUUGUAUAUGUAAUAUAUGCAAAUAAUGUAAAAUGAGUUUUAGCGCCUCAGGGAGAGCUGAUUGAUUAUUGGGUGUUCCUUUAGAAUUCCAAAACUUUUGGCGGUCUUGUUUUUUGCGUUAGUGCUAACCAAGCCACGAAGAUUACAAAUAAAGAUUACUAUGUGCCAAAGCAGUGGAACUCUAGUGAAAACUGCGUCAUUCUUUGUUGCCUGAUAUUUAUUGAAAUGGACGUCUCUAAUUCCAUAUUUAUCGAAAAUUGCACCAAUUUACAAAGUAGAAAGGGGGAGGAAAACAGUGCAUUCUGAUACCUAAUGGUAUUUUUACAAUGUUAUUAGUAUACUUUUUGAAGAGUCUGCUAUACUUUGUAUAGUUGAAGAGUCUGCUGGUGAGCCCGGCGAAGAUAAGAAGGGCUUGGGUGGGAUUUGCAAGGAAUCGAGGCUUGCUUCCAACAUUUCCACUACUCUAUUCAUUGUUGGCCGGCUUGAGGGGUUAGUCUGUAUGCACCACAAGCUUACAAUUAUCAUCUUCCUUGCAUAUUCUUUAUCUUGUUCAUUUUCAAUGCCUUGCAGUCCAAGUUCUUCAUCCUUUUCUAGACGCUUGUAAAUCCAAUGCGGAAAAUAUAUGUCACUGCUUCCAUUAUCCCCAACAUCAACGUUCUUUCUUCCUCCAGUCAUUUCGAAAAUCAUCAUUCCGUAGCUAUAAACAUCCGACUUGUAAGAGACUUCCCCAAUAUUUCUACAGAACACUUCUGGAGCAAUAUACCCAACAGUCCCCCGUGCACCUGUCAUUGAGAUGAUACUCUCUUUCCUGUUGCAGAUUUUAGCUAGGCCGAAAUCAGAGAUCUUAGGACAGAAGUCUUCAUCUAGGAGAAUGUUAUGAGGCUUGAUGUCAAAAUGCAGAAUUCGUGUACUGCAGCCAAGGUGCAAGUACUCUAAUCCUCGAGCUAUGCCUACUGCAAUUUGGAGCAACGUUUCCCAGGUCAAUUUAUGAUUUUCUAUCGAUGAGCUGUUUCUAUAAAUGAACUUCUCCAGAGAUCCAUUGGACACAAACUCGUAGAUGAGAGCUCUUCUGCGACCCUCAAAACAGAAUCCUAAAAGAGUGACGACGUUAACAUGGGAAGUCCUGCUAAUGCUAGCAACCUCAUUGAUGAAUUCUUCACCAUUUCCUUUUGAAUCAUUUAAGACUUUUACUGCCACAUUACUACCGUCAAUUAGUUUUCCUUUGUAAACACUUCCAUAGCCUCCUUGGCCGAGUUUAUAUUUGAAAGAAUUGGUCAUUUUCUUAAUAUCUGCAUGGCUAUAUCUUCUAGGAGCUAGAGAUCCAUGAUUCCUUAAAAAUGUCUCAAUGUUCAGACAACUUCCAGUGGAAUCGUAUGAUGAAAAUUUUCUAUAGAACAUGAUCCAGAAGGACAAAAGUGCAAUCAGGACAAUUGAUCCGCCACCUAAUGUGCAAAAUGAAAAGCUUUAAUUUUUUUCACCAACAUGGUGCUGUGCUGGAAAACACAAAUUACAAAUGAAAUUUCUUUUCAAUUCCCAUUGAAGGCUGCAGAGAAAUUUAUGCAGCAGAGAUUAGAGAGGUAUAUUACCUAGUCCCAGGCCUAGCUUUAAUUCCGAUUUUUCAUGUCCUGCAACACAAAUACAAAGAAAAUGGUGUUAGUUUAGACAAUAAAUAAAGCAGUUAUAGUUUAGGCAAUAAAUACAGCAGUUAUGUAAUUAGAGCAUCCAAAUUCUUGACAGCAUCGCACAGAAACAGAGAGGCUGCACAUCUCAAACUUAUAUUUUUGUCUUCCUGAGAUGAAUUAGCGGCUUCUUCCAAUCCCGGGUAAGGAGUCAGUUUUUUUUUUUUUUUGAGAAGUCAGUUGAAAUAACCAAAUAAAGAAAUCAGUGUAUAAAGAGAGGAAUUCGUUUGUGGCAUGUUAUCGAAAUAGACCUAGCUUUUACAACUGUUUAAUAAUGUGAGUAGUACAGAGCAGAAAGACUAUGAACGAACGUGUAUAUGUUCAUGAAGAUGAACUAGUCCUAAUACCUUAUGUAACUUUUGAUACCUGUCCGUUCGUUUUCACAUUGAAAAUUUUCCUUGUCAUCAAAAUGACAGUGGCCUCGUUUCUUAAGACAAUCAUUACAUUCUCUUGAUUCAGCACAUUGAAACUUUCCCUCGCUAUCACUUCGACACUGGCCCCCUCUCCAGCCACAUUCCCAACAAAACCAGGGUAUUUCCACUUGAAGAGAGAAAACUGAAGUUAACAUAUUGAACAAGUCAUCAGAUUUUCUAGUCUUAUUCACUGGGAGCUGAAUCAGUGAACAGUUAGGUGGAACAAUACGUGGUAAAGCAUCAUCCGGGUGAUUGUAAUAAAUAAAGGAGUUAUGGUUGCAGGUAAAAUGGAAACUCGGGAGGUUUUUCUCAAGCUUGUGGGUGCAUCUGAAGAGGCUCAGAUUUGAUUUGAUAUGAAAAGAGAGAGAAGCAGAGGUGGGGAGAGUCAAAUUUUCGAAGGAUUCACAGCUAGAGUUGCCCAAGUGAUUUUGAAACACUUGGUCUUCAAGAGUGAUUGAAGCAUCCUGGGCUAUGUUUAAAAUAUUAUAAAACGGCCCGGCCUUCCCCAAUCGAAUUCUCUGAACUGGUUUGUUGCAGUUAUCUACUAACAUCAACCCACAUUCAGGAUGCGUCCUAUUGGUGAAAGGAAAGAAAAAUUGACCGAGAUUUCCACAUGAGGGAAAAAAAGAUGGACAUGUUUUAUUCAGUUCACUUUCUUCUUCAGCCGAAGAAAGAAGUAAAAGUUGAGAGAUAACAAAGAACACAAGAAACGAGUAACAAGCCAUUAAUAUUCCGAAUUCCCAAUAUGGCUGGAGAAAUCAACUAAUAAACUGCUAAGAAUAUUCUUAAUCAACUAAUAAACUACUAAGAAUAAUCUUUGUAAUUCUUCAAAUUAUCUUGCAAUUUCUGCUAUUUUUCCUUGUCCACAUGUUUUGUUGCUAAAUCCAUAGAACACGCCAGUUGACUUGGAAAGACUUGUAGAUGUAGUGAUACUGAAACAAGUUCGAGCUGCGCAUGACUGCAUUCUACUGGACACUUUGCAGCUGUAGGACGUGAAAUACUUAUUCAAAAUGAUGGAUAAGUGUUUAACUCGUCCAGGAGAAGGGCCCCUUGAAGUAAGAAUGUUUUUUUUUUUUCCUUAAAAAUAAAUGCAGCUGUGAAUUACCUAAUAUUCUCCGUUUUUACGUCUCUGUGAUAUAGGCUGCAUAAAAUACGAAGGGAAAGUUUCAUGCUCUUAUAUAAAAAAUAAUGGAUAGGGCCGUAUCUCUAAAUAUAAUUGUUCAAGAUCUAAGUAUUCUCUAUACACUACAGUUGACGUAAGGUUUCUUUUACCCUAUUCUACUUAUAGCUUCUUUGUGAGGGAUAACAAAAUUGAGUGCGAGCGAAUUGGUUAGAGUAGGGACCCUUUUUAUAAUUAGCCUUAAAAUACAAUUUAAGACUCUUGAACUCCUACUAUUAAACAAGUGAGAUUAACAUAACUCUUUCACUUCCUUUUGUCAAAGACGUGAAUAAGUUAUAUACUUUAAUUUAUGGCUUAAUUAAAUAUCAUCUCUUAAUUGGAUAAUAAUUAUAAAUUGAUUUACUUUAGUUAAUUAAUUACUCAAUGUCACGUGUACCAUAUAUUGUCAAUUCUUAUAAUACUCACUACCUUAGAUUAUGAAAAACAGAGAAAUUAUUUGUUAAUUUUUCAAAGCAAUUAUAUAUCUAUUGUUGUUUUCCCCCCCACUUUUUUCGUGGUUACAACAGAGAGAUCUAUUUAUCUACCACAAACGAUAAAUCUAGAAUGCUUUCAAAGUUAUUAUUGCAUGUUUACUAAUUUAGUGUGGAACAGAAGUGUUCAGGAUGCUACCUAUCUUGAAUCCCAAGUUAAUUCAAUUCUUGGUCUCUUUGUUGAAAAAGUAGUGCAUGAAUGAAUAAUAAAGUGGAUAUUACAUGCAUUAAUGGUUAAUUAGAAGAAUCGCCAUUUUAUGCUAGAAAUUCAACUGAUGUAGGUAACUUUCGGAGAUAUGUUUUCAUACCGAAUAAAUGCAACACGAAAAUCAUUGUUUUAAUAUGUUUGCAUGGUCUAAAUUCUCAAGUAGAUAUGGAGGCUGCAAAUGAAGGAUUUGGUCCAUUUUCUUUGACAUGUCAUCAAACCACUUUUUGGCUACAAAUAGAACCCUCGUUUGACAUAGCAAAUCAUCCCGAAGCAGCACGAGUGAGAGCACAAAGAGUUCAAGUCACAAAAAUAUUUGAUGUCUAUUGAUUAUGUAUUGAUAACUUCAUGAAAUGAGAAUUAUCAUGACAUUUCUAAACUUAAACUAGCAUUACUUAGAGAGUAAAUUAUAUGUUUUUAUUACAUCUUUAGUUACAUUUUGCAUGAGCAUCUAUAUAAGUUUAAUUUUAAUAAAUUGAUUAUAUUUUAUAUCAUUUUGUGUUAUGAUUAUGUGCAUGAUUGUAGGUGACCAAAAAACUCAAACUUUAUGGAUGGAUUGUUGCAGUAGUAGACUUGCAGAAAUGACAAAAAACUUAUCUGCAGAUGAACUAAAACAAAUUUGAAUAAGAGAAGAUGUUGUAGCAAUUGCUGCAGCAAUCCAAGAGCAAAUACUGGCAAGACUACCCGCAUAUUAAUUGACAAAGCAGUGACAGGCGGCACAAAAAGAUAUGCGAUCCAAGUUUUCAAAAAAAGAGACACGUGGCCACAUGCUUUUGAUUGCCCUAAUUCUAAGAUAUAAAAAGAGCACACGUGAAAGAAACAAGAGGGAGGGGGCCGACACAUAGAAGCAACGAAGAGAAAAAGAAAAAUAAGAGAAUAAGAGAGAGUUGGGGGUUGCAACAAGGGAUUUCAAAGAAAAAGUUGGAGACAUCGCAAAACCUAGGAGCGGGACAUCUUGAAUUUAGUGAAUCUCAAUUCCUCAUCUUUAUUUGCAUGUUUUCAUCUCUUUAUUGGAAUAUAUUUGACGGCAAAAACGUGUGUUGCUACCAUUUUAUCACCUAUCAUGAACUAAACUUUGAUGUAGUUAGGUGUUAAACAAGCUUAAUGGUUAUGACAUGACUGUUUCUAUGAAUGAAUUUUGUAUAGAUCGUAAAGAAAUGAUAAGUAAAUCUUGAGAAGUUGUGAGAACCUUACCGUAACUUGCUGUAGCUACUAUUCCAUUUGAACAGUGAAGAUACCCCUUGCUGUUAAUUAGGCAUUGGCCUCCUCCUCUCGAAGGACAGUCAAUACAUUGUCGUCUUGCACGCCAGUUAGGGAGUACUUUUAGAGAGAAAUUGCCAGUUAACAGACGAAACAAGUCAGACGCGUAGCGAGUCUUACUCGCUGCCACUGGGAGCUGAAUAAGUGAACACUGAGGUGGAAGACUUGGUAGAUCAUCGUCAUCUGGGUGAUUGUAAAAGAUCGUGGAGUCAUCACAGGACAUAUUGAAAUUCAUGGGAAUGUUGCCAAGAAUUGUGGGGCAUUUGAACAGGGUUAAAUUUGAUAGGAUUUCAAAAGAGAUGGAAGGAGACCUGGGAAGAGAAAUAUUUUUGAAGGAUUCACAGCUGCGGUUGUCCAAGUGCCUUUGAAACACUUGAUCAUAAAGUGUAACAGUUUGAUCCGCAGAGAUGCUUGUGACAGAUAACCAUGGCUCAUUCUUUCCCAGUUGAAUCUUUUGAACUGGCUUGUCGCAGUCAUCCACUAAGCAGAAUCCACACUCAGGGUGUGUUCGUAUAGAGUAGGGGAAGUUGAUAUUGCGGAAUUUUCCACAAGAAAAAGAUGGACAACUUAGAUUGAAUCUCAUUUGUUCUUGAGCUAAGGAAAGAAGCAAAAGAUACGAGAGAAUGAAGAACAUAAGAUAAGAGACGUGAGCCAUUAGAAGAAUCCCUGAAUGGCAAGAGAGAUCAACUAAGAAUAAUCUCUGUCCGCAUUGCAUCUUUUAUCCCAGUCAUCUUUGCUAUUUCUUUCAGUUGUUUAACGUCUUGAACAAGUCAGUUGACUUGGAAAAAUGAAUUUGAAGGACGUAAAUGGUUGACCCGUGAUUAAAUGAAAAAUUUCCAAACUCCCUUUCCACAACUAGGACUAAGAAAGCUUGACGCUGUAAUUCUCCUCUUGAAGUAAGAAUAGUAAUAAUAACGAAAAUGCUAAUAAAAAGGGGCCUUCAAGGCUUCAAACGUUGUUCACGUUUUUGGAGAAAUCUUAACAUUUGAUAAAGCUCUUUACUUGAUGUUGCUAUGCUUGAAAUUUACAUAGACCUAAAUCUUGUAAGACAUGUCAUAUGGGCUCUCAUCUCUUAGUUGUAUAAAUAGCUGAGAUUUAAUUAUAGAAGAUGACUUGGCUUUUGAUUAAUUUUAAUAUGACUUUUGCACUCUCCAUAUCUCUCCUUAUCUUUCUCACGUCACUUUCCACAAAUAAAUCAAGGUUUUAUUAGGCAUUUUUUAGCUAUAGUGCUAACUAUACCACCAAGAUUACUAACGAAAGUUUACUGUCCCAAAGAAGUGCAACUCACGCCUUCAAUGAGUGAAAAAUUGAAAAUUGUAUCAGUGUUAUACGCUGAUAUUUAUCGAAAUGGACGUAUUAAUUCCUAAGCAGGAAAAUGUGCCUUUUCAUAGCUAAUGGGAUUACAAAGUUAGUAUACCGUGGAUGGUUGAAGAAUCUGCUGGUGAUCCUGGGGAAGACAAGAAAGGCUUGGGAGGAAUUUGCAAGGAACCAAGGGUUCCUUUCAACAUUUCCACCAAUCUACUCAUUGUUGGCCGGCUUGAGGGGUUAGUCUGUAUGCACCACAAGCUUACAAUUAUCAUCUUCCUUGCAUAUUCUAUACCUUCUUCAUUUUCACUGCCGUGCAAUCCAAGCGCUUCAUCCUUUUCAAGACGUUUGUAAAUCCAAUGCAGAAAAUAUACGUCACUGCUUCCAUUAUCCCGAGCAUCAAAGUUCUUUCUUGCUCCAUUCAUUUCGAAAAUCAUCAUUCCGUAGCUAUAAACAUGUGACUUGUAAGAGGCUUCUCCAAUAUUUCUACAGACACUUCUGGAGCAAUAUACCCAACAUUCCCCCGUGCACCUGUCAUUGAGAUGAUACUUUCUUUCCUGUUGCAGAUUUUAUAUAGGCCGUGUUAUAACUCAUAACAGCUACACAAGAAAUUUCAAGAAGCACUUUGAUAAUUGGACUUGAAAGAACUGAUCAGAGUAAACCAAUCAAGAAAGAAAUCACAAGAAACAGAUUCAGAGCACAGUUUCAAGUACACAAAUUGAUGAAGGAAAAAACUGCUCUUUUAUUGAUCUCAACAAUCUAAUUACAAGCUAAUCACAAAGAAGAAAUUACAAGGACCACAAUGAACCAAAUUGCAAGCAAAAUGAACAAGAAAUGAAGAAGAUAUCGAUAUGAUAUCAGAGGCUAGUCACAAGUGCCUUUUAUUCUGAUAUUUCUGGAAAAAGUCAUAACGAACUCCCAACGAAUUCUGCCACAUCAGCAUAAGUUUUUCAACUAGACCCCUCCAACUGAAGUCGAUCUUCACACUGCUCCAACAAUUCUUCAAAUCUUUCAUUUAAACCCAACGAACCUGCAACUUAUUUCCUCACAGGCCGAAAUCAGAGAUCUUGGGACAGAAGUCUUCAUCUAGGAGAAUGUUAUGAGGCUUGAUGUCAAAAUGCAGAAUUCAUGUACUGCAUCCAAGGUGCAAGUGCUCUAAUUCUCGAGCUACGCCUACUACAAUUUGUAGCAAUGUUUCUCGUGUCAAUUCAUGAUUUUCCGUCGAUAAGCUGUUUCUAUAAAUGAACUUCUCAAGAGGAUCCAUUGGACACAAACUCGUAGAUCAGAGCUCUUCUGCGACCCUCGAAACAGAAUCCUAAAAGAGUGACAAUGUUAACAUGGGAAGUCCUGCUAAUGCUAGCAACCUCGUUGAUGAAUUCUUCACCAUUGCCUUUUGAAUUAUUUAAGAGCUUUACUGCCACAUUAUGACCGUCAAAGUAGUUUUCCUUUGUAAACACCUCCAUAGCCUCCUUGGCCAAGUUGAUGUUUGAAAUAAUUGGUCAUUUUCUUAAUAUCUACAUAACAAUAUCUUUUAGGAGCCUGAGAUUCAUAAUUCCAUAAAAAUGCCUCAAUGUUCAGACAACUUUCAGUGGAAUUGUAUGAUGAAAGUUUUCACCUGAAGUAAAAGGCUAUAAAUAUCAAUAUGCCAACUGCAAUGGCUGAUGCUCCUGCAACCAGAGAAAGGAGUCACUGUCAACUUAAAAUUUCUUUCUCUACUUAAAGACAGAUGGAUGCUUCCCUCAAAACCAUGAGUAGAAGCCAAAAAAUACUUCAGAAAAUUUUGGAUGGUCCAAACAUUGUGCUAGCAGAUGUAUUUGAUUAAAAAGAUACAUUACUGUUUUCUGAGUUUUCUGUUUCCUGCAACAGAAUUAAACAAAGACUGGUGUUAGUUGAGAAUACGAAAAAAUGUCAUGAUGUUCUCAAAUCAUCCAAAUUUUGACAAAAUUGGACAGGCAACUGACAGAAUAGCCAAUCUCAACCAGAUACAGAACUUGCUGCAACAAAUCUGCUGCUUUCUCCAAAUACAGGUAAAGGGACAGCCGAAAUCCAACAAAUAAAUAAAAAGAGACUGAAAAAUAGGAACUCGUUUUGUUGCAUGUUAUUAGAUUAGACAUAGCUUAUGUAAAUGUACAAAAAGAAAAAAAAUAAAAAUUACUAACUCGGAGCAGAUAGUGUUUUGUUCUUAGAAUAACAAAGAACACAAGAAACGAGUAAGAAGCCAUUAAUAUUCCGAAUUCCCAAUAUGGCUGGAGAAAUCAACUAAUAAACUACUAAGAAUAUUCUUAAUCAACUAAUAAACUACUCAGAAUAAUCUUUGUAAUUCUGAAUAAUCUUUGGAAUGGCUUCAGGCUCUACCUCGAGCCUUAGUUGCUGGAUUUGUGAAGACUGACAAGGAAUUUCAGAGUAGAGGCAUGGAACUGUUCCUUGUUCUUAUUUUCAUUCUUGCACUUCUUUUUUAUUUCCCAUCUUUGACUUUUUGUUGUAAAUCAAGCAAAAGUAAUUUUGCUAUACUUGUUCAAUCAUCUUCAGGAGAAAUAUCUGGGACCACAGCUACAUUUGUUAUAGUUGACAGAUGGACUGCGACUGUUGCAUCUGUUGGAGAUUCUCGUUGUAUAUUGGAUGCUCAGGGUGGGGCUGUUUCCACCUUGACUGUAGAUCAUAGGCUUGAAGAGAAUGUGGAAGAGUGCGUUUCUAUAUCAAAGCUCUAUUUCUUCCCUUAUUCUGGAUAGACUUUUUAGUUGGUUAUGCUGCAACUGCAGGAGGGAACGCGUUACUGCAAGGAGGGGUGAAGUUGGGAGGCUUAGCAUUGUUGGAGGUGCUGAGGUAAGGUGUUUUAACAUAUUGGUCUCAAGUCUUAUUCAUUGGUCUUAAAGUAAAGGGCAGAAUUUCUACAAAAUAGAAAAAAUCUAUCCUGCAGUUUGUAACAAAAUUUGCAUAAACUUGACAGAUUGGUCCCCUCCGUUGCUGGCCUGGUGGUUUAUGCAUUUCUAGGUCAAUUGGAGACAUGGAUGUCGGGGAAUUUAUAGUACCAAUACCAUACGUCAAACAAGUAAAGGUAUCCGCCCUCCGCCCCUUUUUUGGGGGGGUUUCUAGAUCAUGUUUUUCACUUGUGAUUCUUUUCCAUCUUCGACUGUGUUACCCGUGAUUUUGAGAUGGGAUUGCUUGGUCUAUCUUCAGCAUGAACUCUUACUUUCUUCAUUGUUUUAAAAGCUAUCAAAUGCAGGUGGAAGGCUUAUUAUUGCUUCUGAUGGAAUCUGGGAUGCCCUAUCCUCAGAAAUGGCUGCACAAUGUUGCCGUGGAUUGCCGGCUGAACUCGCUGCCAGACAAGUGGUGAGGUAAUUUAAUUUGUUGUUUUACUACGUAUUUGUUGCCAGUUCUUUUUAGAAGAACCUGCUAACAUAGCUUUUGAGUAGUUUAUUGUUGUUCAGAUGAUUGCUUAGAAUGUUUUCUCACUGUAUUUGAUGGAUCACUAUUUAGGAAGCAUUAAGGACAAGGGGACUGAAGGAUGAUACAACUUGCAUAGUUGUUGACAUAAUUCCUCCUGACAAUACGAUGCAGCCUCAGCCUCCUCCCCAAAAGCAGAAUAAGCUGAGAGCGCUGCUAUUUAGGAAGAAGUCCCUUGAUUCAGCAAAUAAACUAUCAAAGAAGCUUUCAGCUGUAGGAAUAGUUUAAGAACUGUUCGAAGAAGGCUCGGCAAUGCUUGCCGAAAGGUUAAUGCUGUCUCCUUUGCAUGUGUAAAUGUUCGAUUUGUCAUUGGAAAGGCUCAAAAGUAUUGCUCUGAUUUUCUAAAUCUAGUUCUCAAUCGCUUAAAUGUUCACUUUGUCAUAAUUUUUAAUGCAUUUUGCAGACUGGGUAAUGAAGAACCUGUGUUGCAAUCAACAUCUGGUCUUUUUACAUGUGCUGUAUGCCAAAUCGACCUUGCUCCGAGUGAGGGAAUCUCUGUUCAUGCUGGUUCCAUCUUCUCCACUAGCUCAAAGCCCUGGCAAGGGCCUUUCCUCUGCGCUGAUUGCCGAAAUAAGAAGGAUGCCAUGGAAGGAAAACGCCCUAGUGGAGUGAAAGUAGCAUAACUCCCUUAUUGUAACCUCCUUAUUCUUUCCCACUUCAUUCUAUUAUUUUGUGCCCACUUUCCAUUAGGCUAGUGAAUUGUUUGAAUCUUACCAUAGUGCUACAUCAAUUGUAUAUGUAAUAUAUGCAAAUAAUGUAAAAUGAGUUUUAGCGCCUCAGGGAGAG
rnacentral:lncRNA from 1 species